UACGGAGGGUGCGAGCGUUGUCCGGAAUCACUGGGCGUAAAGGGCGCGUAGGUGGCGGAGCAAGUCAACGGUGAAAGCUCGACGCUCAACGUCGAGUCGGCCGUCGAGACUGCUUUGCUCGAGCACUGUAGAGGCAGAUGGAAUUCCGGGUGUAGCGGUGGAAUGCGUAGAGAUCCGGAAGAACACCGGUGGCGAAGGCGGUCUGCUGGCAGUGCUGGACACUGAGCGCGACGAGCGUGGGAGCAACAGGGAU
rnacentral:rRNA from 1 species